CGCUGUAAACGAUGUCGAUUUGGAGGUUGUGCCCUUGAGGCGUGGCUUCCGGAGCUAACGCGUUAAAUCGACCGCCUGGGGAGUACGGCCGCAAGGUUAAAACUCAAAUGAAUUGACGGGGGCCCGCACAAGCGGUGGAGCAUGUGGUUUAAUUCGAUGCAACGCGAAGAACCUUACCUACUCUUGACAUCCAGAGAACUUAGCAGAGAUGCUUUGGUGCCUUCGGGAACUCUGAGACAGGUGCUGCAUGGCUGUCGUCAGCUCGUGUUGUGAAAUGUUGGGUUAAGUCCCGCAACGAGCGCAACCCUUAUCCUUUGUUGCCAGCGAUUCGGUCGGGAACUCAAAGGAGACUGCCGGUGAUAAACCGGAGGAAGGUGGGGAUGACGU
rnacentral:rRNA from 1 species